AUUGAACGCUGGCGGCAGGCUAAACACAUGCAAGUAGAACGAGUGGCGGACGGGUGAGUAAUGCUUGGGAAUCUGGCUUAUGGAGGGGGAUAACGACGGGAAACUGUCGCUAAUACCGCGUACCAUAGGAUGAGCCCAAGUGGGAUUAGCUGGUUGGCGGGGUGAAGGCACACCAAGGCGACGAUGAGUAGCGGGUCUGAGAGGAUGAUCUGCAAAACUGGGACUGUUACACGGCCCAGACUCCAACGGGAGGCAGCAGUGGGGAGUUUUGGACAAUGGGCGCAAGCCUGAGCCAGCCAUGCCGCGUGUCUGAAGAGGGCCUUCGGGUUGUAAAGGCCUUUUGUCAGGGAAGCGGUACCUGAAGAAUAAGCACCGGCUAACUACGUGCCAGCAGCCGCGGUAAUUC
rnacentral:rRNA from 1 species